ensembl:lncRNA
UUUUAAUUUAAAUAAAAUAAACUUCCUUAUUGCAGAGUAGAAAAAUCUAAGAUGGUCAGUGACAGCUGAUUUAAUGUUUACUUCUGAAAGAUACAGGAUCCAUAUAAAAGUUGACCAGUCUCUAAGUAAGCUUUAUUACAGUUACUUGCCCAACAGACCAUACUCACUAUGAGCUUGUGAUCCAUCGAUGCUUACCAAGUUCAAGGUAAAAAUGGACAGACAGAACUAAAAAAUAUAAAUAAAAUAAAGCCAGUUGGAAAGAGUCAUUAAAGUUUCCACAAUCAUCUGAACUCUUUGUAAAUAAGCAGAAAAACAUAACUUACAGAGCAAGAUGACGUGCCUCAUGUUGUCAACUCAGUGUAAAUUUAAUCACAGCUCCACCAGCUUUAUUUCCAAGGGACCUCCCAAACAGUCAAGAGGUCAAUAGCACUGGAGCCUCCUGACUGGCAGGCUAGUUGAAGCUGGUUGAUUUUAAGCUUUAGGGUUAAAGUUGCACACUAAAAGUUAAACAAACUGAUUCCAGAAACAAGUGUUUUCCUGAGUUUGUAGCUUCUUUUUGAUUUAAAAUGGCAGUAAAGAUGAAGACAAAUUUAAAAGAAUUAAAGAAAACAACAUGACCACCUGCCCAAUAUUAUGUUGGUGUCCGUUUGCUGCCAAUACAACCCUGACCUGUCAAUGCGUCAAAUCUACUAGACCCCUGAAGGUGUGCUGUGGUAUCUGCACCAAGGUCGUAGCAACCAAUCCUGUAAGUUGUGAACUGAGGCCUCCAUGGAUCAGACUUGUUUAUCUAGUACAGCCCACAGAUACUCAGAUUCAGAUUUGGGGAAUCUGGAAACCAAGCCAAAACCUCAACCUUCUUGUUGUGCUCCUUAAGCCACCCCUGCUUUGGGGCAGGGUGCAUUAUCCUGCUCUAAGACACAACAGCCAUCAGGGAAUACCAUUUCCAUUAAUGGGUGUACAUAGUCUGCAACAAUGCUUAGUUUGUAGGCCUCUACAUGGGUUUCCCUGUAGUCAGACAGCUUUCUAUCAGAACCAGCAUCAACUUUUAUGCAGUCUGACAUGCAUUGGCUUGAGUGUUGAAUCAGAAUACGAGGGCCAGCUUUCACUUCCCAUAUGGAAUCAAUGAGCCUUAGCCACCAAUGACCCUGUUGCUGGUUCACCACGGUUCCUUAUUUUGAUAGAUGCCCACAAGUGGUGCAGUUUUAGAGCUGCUGACCCAGUGUAGCCAUCAGUUUAGCCCAAAUUAAAUUCAAAUCCUUACACUCGCCCAUUUUUGUUCUUCCAACAUCAACUUUGACAAAAAGUUCACAUGCUCCCCACUACAUCCCGCCCACUAACAGGUGCCAUGAUGGAGAUCGGAGUUAUUCAGCUCACCUGCUGUAGUGUUAUGCCUGAUCAGUGUACAUUAAAUUAUCUAGUGAUAAUUCAGCUGUUCUUCAGGAUGUUUAUUAAGUAGCCGUAGUUGUCAUUUUGCUCUUUGGGGCCAUGCAUGGCCUUUUGUGGCAAACUUGCAGUGGUCUUUCCCACAAAAAGACCAUAUAGGGCCACAUAAGCCAUCCCAUGUGGGCACUUUAUAAACUGAUAUUCAAUUAAGCAAAUAGUAUAAACAACAAAAAAUAUUAAUGGGAAAUCUCAAACUUAAAUUUAGUUCAUAAUACAUUUGCAGAUGUUAUUUUCACAGCAAUUAAUUUUUCCUUUAAAGCCAUAAAAUGCUCCUACAGAGCUAAAGUGAAAGAGGUCAGAAUGCUGAUAAGGAGGUAGCUCUAGACAAGUGUAUCAGUUUUGGGGCAACGAAAAAAAAACCCUUCUUGACCCACACUCACAAGCCAGUCAAACCUAUUACUCACCUGGCUUGGAACUGUGGAGCAGAAAGAGGUUUCUUUGAAAGUUCUGCUGGUGAGCAGGUUUGCAGGAGGGAAGCAUAAACACUAGUAGAACAGCCACAUCAGAGAAAGACCAAUAACAAGCCUGACUGACACACCAAAGCAGGAGAAGUCAAGCAGGAGAAAAAAAAAAAGAAAAAAACACAUUAGAGUAAGUAGUAAGACAAAGUGCUACCCCUAAAGUACAUACACACUUUACCACUAGUAUUGCUGUAACAAUGAAAUGCCAAGUGGAGGAACAGCCAGUCUUUUUAUUGUAGAUGAAUGAUGAGUUAAUGAGAAACAGCUGUGUGAGUAAGGAGCCAGCAUGAGCUGCUUGGAAAG